rnacentral:rRNA from 1 species
AUUGAACGCUGGCGGCAGGCCUAACACAUGCAAGUCGAGCGGAUGAAGGGAGCUUGCUCCUGGAUUCAGCGGCGGACGGGUGAGUAAUGCCUAGGAAUCUGCCUGGUAGUGGGGGAUAACGUCCGGAAACGGGCGCUAAUACCGCAUACGUCCUGAGGGAGAGAGUGGGGGAUCUUCGGACCUCACGCUAUCAGAUGAGCCUAGGUCGGAUUAGCUAGUUGGUGGGGUAAAGGCCUACCAAGGCGACGAUCCGUAACUGGUCUGAGAGGAUGAUCAGUCACACUGGAACUGAGACACGGUCCAGACUCCUACGGGAGGCAGCAGUGGGGAAUAUUGGACAAUGGGCGAAAGCCUGAUCCAGCCAUGCCGCGUGUGUGAAGAGGGUCUUCGGAUUGUAAAGCACUUUAAGUUGGGAGGAAGGGCAGUAAGUUAAUACCUUGCUGUUUUGACGUUACCAACAGAAUAAGCACCGGCUAACUUCGUG